GAACCCUUGGAGAGAUCCAUUUUAGAAAUGGACGCCGAAGGCGCAAAAGAGCGGUUAAUUUUUCAAUCGUUUUUCAAACGCUCAGGCAAAAGGACAGGGGCAAA
rnacentral:ncRNA from 2 species